rnacentral:rRNA from 1 species
CCUACGGGAGGCAGCAGUAAGGAAUAUUGGUCAAUGGGCGCAAGCCUGAACCAGCCAUGCCGCGUGCAGGAAGACGGCCCUAUGGGUUGUAAACUGCUUUUGAACAAGAGAAAACCUCGGUACGUGUACCGAGCUGAUAGUAUUGUUAGAAUAAGCAUCGGCUAACUUCGUGCCAGCAGCCGCGGUAAGACGAAGGAUGCAAGCGUUAUCCGGAUUCAUUGGGUUUAAAGGGUGCGUAGGCGGCCUGAUAAGUCAGUGGUGAAAUCUCUCAGCUUAACUGAGAAACUGCCAUUGAUACUGUCGGGCUUGAGUACAGAUGAUGUGGGCGGAAUAUGACAUGUAGUGGUGAAAUACUUAGAUAUGUCAUAGAACACCGAUUGCGAAGGCAGCUCACAAAACUGUAACUGACGCUGAGGCACGAAAGUGCGGGGAUCAAACAGGAUUAGAUACCCUGGUAGUCCGCACCGUAAACGAUGAUUACUCGUUGUUGGCAAUAUGACCGUCAGCGACCAAGCGAAAGCGAUAAGAAUCCACCUGGGGAGUACGCCGGCAACGGUGAAACUUAGAAGUAGUAGACGNGNGAGAGNGACGACGACGACGACGGAGGGAGGAG